GUCGUUGUAGUAUAGUGGUGAGUAUCCCGCCUGUCACGCGGGAGACCCGGGUUCGAUCCCCGGCAACGGCG
rfam:Ipomoea nil DNA, scaffold: scaffold2147, cultivar: Tokyo-kokei standard.